rnacentral:rRNA from 2 species
GCGUAAUAGCUCACUGGUCGAGUCGGCCUGCGCGGAAGAUGUAACGGGGCUAAACCAUGCACCGAAGCUGCGGCAGCGACACUAUGUGUUGUUGGGUAGGGGAGCGUUCUGUAAGCCUGCGAAGGUGGCCUGUGAGGGUUGCUGGAGGUAUCAGAAGUGCGAAUGCUGACAUAAGUAACGAUAAAGCGGGUGAAAAGCCCGCUCGCCGGAAGACCAAGGGUUCCUGUCCAACGUUAAUCGGGGCAGGGUGAGUCG